CGGGUUGUAAACCUCUUUCAGCAGGGAAGAAGCGCAAGUGACGGUACCUGCAGAAGAAGCGCCGGCUAACUACGUGCCAGCAGCCGCGGUAAUACGUAGGGCGCAAGCGUUGUCCGGAAUUAUUGGGCGUAAAGAGCUCGUAGGCGGUUUGUCGCGUCUGGUGUGAAAACUCGAGGCUCAACCUCGAGCUUGCAUCGGGUACGGGCAGACUAGAGUGCGGUAGGGGAGACUGGAAUUCCUGGUGUAGCGGUGGAAUGCGCAGAUAUCAGGAGGAACACCGAUGGCGAAGGCAGGUCUCUGGGCCGCAACUGACGCUGAGGAGCGAAAGCAUGGGGAGCGAACAGGAUUAGAUACCCUGGUAGUCCAUGCCGUAAACGUUGGGCACUAGGUGUGGGGCUCAUUCCACGAGUUCCGUGCCGCAGCAAACGCAUUAAGUGCCCCGCCUGGGGAGUACGGCCGCAAGGCUAAAACUCAAAGGAAUUGACGGGGGCCCGCACAAGCGGCGGAGCAUGCGGAUUAAUUCGAUGCAACGCGAAGAACCUUACCAAGGCUUGACAUGCACGAGAAGCCACCAGAGAUGGUGGUCUCUUUGGACACUCGUGCACAGGUGGUGCAUGGUUGUCGUCAGCUCGUGUCGUGAGAUGUUGGGUUAAGUCCCGCAACGAGCGCAACCCUCGUCCCAUGUUGCCAGCGGGUUAUGCCGGGGACUCAUGGGAGACUGCCGGGGUCAACUCGGAGGAAGGUGGGGAUGACGUCAAAUCAUCAUGCCCCUUAUGUCUUGGGCUUCACGCAUGCUACAAUGGCCGGUACAAAGGGCUGCGAUACCGUAAGGUGGAGCGAAUCCCAAAAAGCCGGUCUCAGUUCGGAUUGGGGUCUGCAACUCGACCCCAUGAAGUCGGAGUCGCUAGUAAUCGCAGAUCAGCAACGCUGCGGUGAAUACGUUCCCGGGCCUUGUACACACCGCCCGUCAAGUCACGAAAGUCGGUAACACCCGAAGCCCAUGGCCCAACCGUUCGCGGGGGGAGUGUCGAAGGUGAACUGGCU
rnacentral:rRNA from 1 species